rnacentral:rRNA from 1 species
AGACAGAGGGGGCAAGCGUUGCUCGGAAUUACUGGGCGUAAAGGGCGCGUAGGCGGGAUGGCAAGUCGGUCGUGAAAUCCUUCGGCUCAACCGAAGAACGUCGGCCGAUACUGCCGUUCUUGAGGGAUGCAGAGGAGAUUGGAAUUCCCGGUGUAGCGGUGAAAUGUGUAGAGAUCGGGAGGAACACCGGUGGCGAAGGCGGGUCUCUGGGCAUCUCCUGACGCUGAGGCGCGAAAGCGUGGGGAGCAAACG